AGCUAACGAUGUCCGAAUGGGGAAACCCACUCACAUAAGUGAGUAUCUGCACAUGAAUACAUAGUGUGUAGAGGCAAACCCGGGGAACUGAAACAUCUAAGUACCCGGAGGAAAAGAAAUCAACCGAGAUUCCCCUAGUAGCGGCGAGCGAACGGGGAUUAGCCCUUAAGUCUAUGGGGUGUUAGUGGAAUGUGUUGGAAAGCACAGCGGCACAGGGUGAUAGCCCCGUACAUGAAAACUAACCAUAGAUGAAAACGAGUAAGGCGGGACACGUGACAUCCUGUUUGAAUAUGGGGGGACCAUCCUCCAAGGCUAAAUACUCCUGACUGACCGAUAGUGAACCAGUACCGUGAGGGAAAGGCGAAAAGAACCCCUGUGAGGGGAGUGAAAUAGAACCUGAAACCGUAUACGUACAAGCAGUGGGAGCGGUUCUUGAGACCGUGACUGCGUACCUUUUGUAUAAUGGGUCAGCGACUUACGUUUUGUAGCGAGGUUAAGCGAAUAGCGGAGCCGUAGGGAAACCGAGUGUUAACUGCGCGUUUAGUUGCAAGGCGUAGACCCGAAACCCGGUGAUCUAGCCAUGGGCAGGUUGAAGGUUGAGUAACAUCAACUGGAGGACCGAACCGACUUAUGUUGAAAAAUGAGCGGAUGACUUGUGGCUGGGGGUGAAAGGCCAAUCAAACCGGGAGAUAUCUGGUUCUCCUCGAAAGCUAUUUAGGUAGCGCCUCGAGCGAAUACCAUUGGGGGUAGAGCACUGUUAAGGCUAGGGGGUCAUCCCGACUUACCAACCCUUUGCAAACUCCGAAUACCAAUGAGUACUACUCGGGAGACAGACGGCGGGUGCUAACGUCCGUCGUCAAAAGGGAAACAACCCAGACCGUCAGCUAAGGUCCCAAAGUGUAUGUUAAGUGGGAAACGAUGUGGGAAGGCUUAGACAGCUAGGAUGUUGGCUUAGAAGCAGCCAUCAUUUAAAGAAAGCGUAAUAGCUCACUAGUCGAGUCGGCCUGCGCGGAAGAUGUAACGGGGCUAAACAUACCACCGAAGCUACGGGUGCAUUUCAUUAGAGAUGCGCGGUAGAGGAGCGUUCUGUAAGCGGUUGAAGGUGAAGGGGUAACCCACACUGGACGUAUCAGAAGUGCGAAUGCUGACAUGAGUAACGAUAAAGGGAGUGAAAAACUCCCUCGCCGAAAGACCAAGGGUUCCUGUCCAACGUUAAUCGGGGCAGGGUGAGUCGACCCCUAAGGUGAGGCCGAAAGGCGUAAUCGAUGGGAAACAGAUUAAUAUUUCUGUACUUCUGCUAACUGCGAUGGAGAGACGGAGAAGGCUAGGCUAGCGCGGCGUUGGUAGUCCGCGUUUAAGGUGGUAGGCUGAUUUCUUAGGCAAAUCCGGGAAAUCUUAAGGCCGAGAGCUGAUGACGAGUCACUAAGGUGAUGAAGUAGUUGAUGCCAUGCUUCCAGGAAAAUCUUCUAAGCUUCAGGUUAGUAGAAAUCGUACCCCAAACCGACACAGGUGGUCGGGUAGAGAAUACCAAGGCGCUUGAGAGAACUCGGCUGAAGGAACUAGGCAAAAUGGUACCGUAACUUCGGGAGAAGGUACGCUGCCGGCGGUGAUG
rnacentral:rRNA from 1 species